rnacentral:sRNA from 1 species
AUUAUAAGGGACUCAAGUUCCUCCUGAAGCUGCAAUAGAAAAUUGUCCGUCUUUGUUUUAUCAUCAGCACUUUUGUAUAACAAUCUCUGAAAAUUCUCAAGACAAUCAUCUAUGUUGAAC